AAUUGUAAGGGCCUAAGGAAGGCAGCUGAAUUUGAUAUUCAGCUGGAGACAGAGGAGUGUGUGAAGAACUCAAAUGGUACUUUGGUGAAAGAUGGGGUGAAAAGGGGUCUAUUUGAAUUGCCUCGCGAUCACCACCGUGAAUUGGAGGCUGAACUGAAGAAGAUGGCACCACCAAAUGGAAGAGCCGUUCUGGUGUUUCGAUCAAGGUGUGGAUGUUCUGUUGGAAGAUUGGAAGUACCGGGACCAAAGAAGCAAAAGAAGAUCAAGAAGUAGGACUAUUAUAUUUCUUAAUUUUAGAGGAGGGAACUAAUAUAGUAGUAGAGUCAUGAGGGAGAAAGGAGUGUCUUCUCUGAUAGAUCUUCUCAGGAGCUACCUUGUCCUUAAAUAAGCCAUGGCAAUAAGUUGUAAGGGAUUUUAUAUACAUUUGGUUAUAGUGGAGAAUAUGAGAAUCCUUUAUUUCAUCAACUUUAUUUGCUAUUAUAUAAUAAUUGUUUCUGUUGUUUCCAAAAAAAA
rnacentral:misc_RNA from 1 species